rnacentral:rRNA from 1 species
GCGGUAACAGGUGUAGCAAUACAUGCUGACGAGCGGCGGACGGGUGAGUAACGCUUGGGAAUCUGCCUGUUAGUGGGGGACAACCCGGGGAAACUCGGGCUAAUACCGCAUACGCACUACGGUGGAAAGCCGGGGACCGCAAGGCCUGGCGCUAACAAAUGAGCCCAAGUCGGAUUAGCUAGUUGGUGGGGUAAUGGCCCACCAAGGCGACGAUCCGUAACUGGUCUGAGAGGACGACCAGUCACACCGGAACUGAGAGACGGUCCGGACUCCUACGGGAGGCAGCAGUGGGGAAUAUUGGACAAUGGGGGAAACCCUGAUCCAGCGACGCCGCGUGGGUGAAGAAGGCCUGCGGGUUGUAAAGCCCUUUCGGUUGGGAAGAAAAGUUGCGACCUAACACGUCGCGACCUUGACGUAACCAACUAAAGAAGCACCGGCUAACUCUGUGCCAGCAGCCGCGGUAAUACAGAGGGUGCGAGCGUUAAUCGGAAUUACUGGGCGUAAAGCGCGCGUAGGCGGCUUGGCAAGUCGGGUGUGAAAUCCCCGGGCUCAACCUGGGAACUGCAUUCGAGACUGCUUUGCUAGAGUAUGGGAGAGGGAAGUGGAAUUUCCGGUGUAGCGGUGAAAUGCGUAGAUAUCGGAAGGAACAUCAGUGGCGAAAGCGACUUCCUGGACCAAUACUGACGCUCAUGUGCGAAAGCGUGGGGAGCAAACAGGAUUGGAUACCCUGGUAGUCCACGCCAUAAACGAUCAGAACUGGAUGUCGGGAGGGUCUGCCUCUCGGUGUCGUAGCUAACGCG